rnacentral:tRNA from 1 species
GGCCGGUUAGCUCAGUUGGUUAGAGCGUGGUGCUAAUAACGCCCAAGGUCACGGGUUCAACCCCCGUACGGGCCA